GACGGCGCGAGCAGGUGCGAAAGCAGGUCAUAGUGAUCCGGUGGUUCUGAAUGGAAGGGCCAUCGCUCAACGGAUAAAAGGUACUCCGGGGAUAACAGGCUGAUACCGCCCAAGAGUUCAUAUCGACGGCGGUGUUUGGCACCUCGAUGUCGGCUCAUCACAUCCUGGGGCUGAAGUAGGUCCCAAGGGUAUGGCUGUUCGCCAUUUAAAGUGGUACGCGAGCUGGGUUUAGAACGUCGUGAGACAGUUCGGUCCCUAUCUGCCGUGGGCGCUGGAAGAUUGAGGGGGGCUGCUCCUAGUACGAGAGGACCGGAGUGGACGCAUCACUGGUGUUCGGGUUGUCAUGCCAAUGGCACUGCCCGGUAGCUAAAUGCGGAAGAGAUAAGUGCUGAAAGCAUCUAAGCACGAAACUUGCCCCGAGAUGAAUCUUCCCUGAGACUUUGAGUCUCCUGAAGGAACGUUGAAGACGACGACGUUGAUAGGCCGGGUGUGUAAGCGCAGCGAUGCGUUGAGCUAACCGGUACUAAUGAACCGUGAGGCUUAACCUUACAACGCCGAAG
rnacentral:rRNA from 1 species